rnacentral:rRNA from 1 species
UACGGAGGAUCCAAGCGUUAUCCGGAUUUAUUGGGUUUAAAGGGUGCGUAGGCGGUUCUUUAAGUCAGGGGUGAAAAGACGGUAGCUUAACUAUCGCAGUGCCUUUGAUACUGAAGAACUUGAAUACACUUGAGGUAGGCGGAAUGUGACAAGUAGCGGUGAAAUGCAUAGAUAUGUCACAGAACACCAAUUGCGAAGGCAGCUUACUAAAAGUGUCAUUGACGCUGAGGCACGAAAAGCGUGGGGAUCAAACAGG